UUAGUGAACCUGAGUAAACUAAGCUCC
rnacentral:piRNA from 1 species